AGGACGAACGCUGGCGGCGUGCUUAACACAUGCAAGUCGAGCGGUAAGGCCUUUCGGGGUACACGAGCGGCGAACGGGUGAGUAACACGUGGGUGAUCUGCCCUGCACUUCGGGAUAAGCCUGGGAAACUGGGUCUAAUACCGGAUAUGACCUCCUAUCGCAUGGUGGGUGGUGGAAAGAUUUAGUCGGUG
rnacentral:rRNA from 1 species